rnacentral:rRNA from 1 species
GCUGGCGGCGUGCCUAUACAUGCAAGUCGAGCGGACCGACGGGAGCUUGCUCCCUUAGGUCAGCGGCGGACGGGUGAGUAACACGUGGGUAACCUGCCUGUAAGACUGGGAUAACUCCGGGAAACCGGGGCUAAUACCGGAUGCUUGAUUGAACCGCAUGGUUCAAUCAUAAAAGGUGGCUUUUAGCUACCACUUNCAGAUGGACCCGCGGCGCAUUAGCUAGUUGGUGAGGUAACGGCUCACCAAGGCGACGAUGCGUAGCCGACCUGAGAGGGUGAUCGGCCACACUGGGACUGAGACACGGCCCAGACUCCUACGGGAGGCAGCAGUAGGGAAUCUUCCGCAAUGGACGAAAGUCUGACGGAGCAACGCCGCGUGAGUGAUGAAGGUUUUCGGAUCGUAAAACUCUGUUGUUAGGGAAGAACAAGUACCGUUCGAAUAGGGCGGCACCUUGACGGUACCUAACCAGAAAGCCACGGCUAACUACGUGCCAGCAGCCGCGGUAAUACGUAGGUGGCAAGCGUUGUCCGGAAUUAUUGGGCGUAAAGCGCGCGCAGGCGGUUUCUUAAGUCUGAUGUGAAAGCCCCCGGCUCAACCGGGGAGGGUCAUUGGAAACUGGGGAACUUGAGUGCAGAAGAGGAGAGUGGAAUUCCACGUGUAGCGGUGAAAUGCGUAGAGAUGUGGAGGAACACCAGUGGCGAA